rnacentral:tRNA from 1 species
GUCGGUGUAUAAUGGUCAUCAUAGCUGCCUUCCAAGCAGUUGAUCCGGUUUCGAUUCCCGCCGACG